rnacentral:rRNA from 1 species
AUGCGAAAUAAAUGGAAAUACAUUUUACACGAUCGCCAAGAUCAAAAGAGCACCAACCAAAACAGCGGUGUCCACUUUGAUGCAGCAACCGAGACGGGAAAGGACACAUAUUAUGGUUGCAUAGUGGACAUAUGGGAACUUGACUACGGACAUGAUUUUAAGGUCCCUUUGUUUAAGUGCAAAUGGGUCAAUCUGUCAGGAGGCGGGGUACAGGUAGACCCACAGUACGAAAUGACAACAGUGGAUCUGAACAAUCUUGGGUACACUGACGAACCGUUCAUCCUAGCCAAUGAUGUGGCACGGGUUAUCUAUGUGAAGGACAUGUCUAUCAAACCGAGAAAAAGAAAAGAUAAGGAAGCGAAUACAUCAUAUGAUGAGCCAAAGCGCCACAUAGUUCUUUCAGGAAAAAGGGACAUCGUGGGAGUGGAGGGCAAGACAGACAUGUCUGAAGAUUAUGAAAAGUUUCAUGAAAUUCCUCCCUUCAAAGUCAAGGCUGACCCAAGCAUCCUGAUAAACGAUGAAGAUUAUCCAUGGUUAUGGCGCAAUAAGCAAAGCACACAAGCGAAAAAAAAGUGA